AACAUACUCCCUCCGUUUCAAAAAAUUGUCUUAGAUUUGUCUUGAUAUGUAUGUAUUUAGUUACGUUUUAGUAUUUAAAUACACACAUUUCUAGACAAACUUAUGAUAAGAAUUUUGAAACGGAGGGAGUAUUAG
rfam:Hordeum vulgare subsp. vulgare, WGS project CAJW01000000 data, contig: morex_contig_137212